GCAGUCAUGGCCAAGUGGUUAUGGCGAUGGACUAGAAAUCCAUUGAGGUCUCCCCGCACAGGUACGAAACUUGUCGACUGCG
rnacentral:tRNA from 2 species